GCGCUUUUUGUACGCGUUGCUCCUUCGUGGCGGACAGUACGGAUGAAACACUGUCGACGCAAACUAGGCGAAAAAUUCUAUGAGAAAUAACAAAAAAUAAUAAGAAAAAAAACAAUCCAACAUUCUUAGCAUAAAUUGAGUGCUAAACCAAAAGAUUUCCAUGAGCAAUUAGGCAAAGAAAAAAGAAAAAAAAAAAAAAGAAAACAACUAACCUCAUAAAAAAGUUCAUGCAGUGAAAAAAAAAAACAAGAAAAAUUGCCAGCAGCAUAUUUGUCAAAUAAAAAAAAAAAAA